AAGAGUGGAAAAACUCCCUUGACGGUACUUAAUGAAUAAGCCCUGGCUAAUUAUGUGCCAGCAGCCGCGGUAAUACAUAAGGGGCGAGCGUUAUCCGGAAUUAUUGGGCGUAAAGGGUGCGUAGGCGGUUUAAUAAGUCUAUAGUUUAAUUUCAGCGCUUAACGCUGUUGCGCUAUAGAAACUGUUUUACUAGAGUGAGUUAGAGGCAAGCGGAAUUCCAUGUGUAGCGGUAAAAUGCGUAAAUAUAUGGAGGAACACCAGAGGCGUAGGCGGCUUGCUGGGACUUUACUGACGCUGAGGCACGAAAGCGUGGGGAGCAAACAGGAUUAGAUACCCUGGUAGUCCACGCCGUAAACGAUGAGUACUAAGUGUCGGGUAAAACCGGUACUGAAGUUAACACAUUAAGUACUCCGCCUGAGUAGUACGUACGCAAGUAUGAAACUUAAAGGAAUUGACGGGACUCCGCACAAGCGGUGGAUCAUGUUGUUUAAUUCGAAGAUACACGAAAAACCUUACCAGGUCUUGACAUUUUCUUGCGAAGUUAUAGAAAUAUAAUGGAGGUUAUCAGGAAAACAGGUGGUGCAUGGUUGUCGUCAGCUCGUGUCGUGAGAUGUUAGGUUAAGUCCUAAAACGAGCGCAACCCUUGUCGUUAAUUGCCAGCAUGUAAUGAUGGGGACUUUAACGAGACUGCCAAUGAAAAAUUGGAGGAAGGUGGGGAUUACGUCAAAUCAUCAUGCCCCUUAUGAUCUGGGCUACAAACGUGAUACAAUGG
rnacentral:rRNA from 1 species